AAUGAACGCUGGCGGCAGGCUUAACACAUGCAAGUCGAACGAGAAACCAUCUUCGGAUGGCAGAAAGUGGCAAACGGGUGAGUAACACGUGGGAACGUACCUUAAGGUUCGGGACAACAGUUGGAAACGACUGCUAAUACCGGAUGUGCUCUACGGAGGAAAGAUUUAUCGCCUUAAGAUCGGCCCGCGCUAGAUUAGUUUGUUGGUGAGGUAAUGGCUUACCAAGACUACGAUCUAUAGCUGGUUUGAGAGGAUGAUCAGCCACACUGGGACUGAGAUACGGCCCAG
rnacentral:rRNA from 1 species